AACGAACGCUGGCGGCAUGCCUAACACAUGCAAGUCGAACGAGACCUUCGGGUCUAGUGGCGCACGGGUGCGUAACGCGUGGGAACCUGCCCUUAGGUUCGGAAUAACUCCCCGAAAGGGGGGUUAAACCCGGUAAUGGUCUCCGGACAAAGGAUUAUCCCCCUUUGGAUGGGCCGGCGUUGGAUUAGCUAGUUGGUAGGGUAAAAGCCUACCAAGGCGACGAUCCAUAGCUGGUCUGAGAGGAUGAUCAGCCACACUGGGACUGAGACACGGCCCAGACUCCUACGGGAGGCAGCAGUGGGGAAUAUUGGACAAUGGGCGAAAGCCUGAUCCAGCAAUGCCGCGUGAGUGAUGAAGGCCUUAGGGUUGUAAAGCUCUUUUACCCGGGAUGAUAAUGACAGUACCGGGAGAAUAAGCUCCGGCUAACUCCGUG
rnacentral:rRNA from 1 species